rnacentral:rRNA from 1 species
UACGUAGGGGGCAAGCGUUGUCCGGAUUUAUUGGGCGUAAAGAGCGUGUAGGCGGCCAGGUAGGUCUGCUGUGAAAACUCGAGGCUUAACCUCGAGAUGUCGGCGGAAACCAUCUGGCUAGAGUCCGGAAGAGGAGAAUGGAAUUCCCGGUGUAGCGGUGAAAUGCGCAGAUAUCGGGAGGAACACCGGUGGCGAAGGCGGCAUCCUGGACCAACACUGACACUGAGGAGCGAAAGCCAGGGGAGCAAACGGG